GGCCCCUUGCGCUUUCUCUGCCAAGAGACCUCUCUGGGUGAAGCGCCAUGAUAUCUGGGAUUUGCUUUUCAAUGCCCCAUAAAAAGUAAGGUGAGAGCAGAUGGAUGAAAUAAGAUUGGUGAAUUUCAGACAAGUCUUGAAACUGGAAGAUAGAUGCAUAGGAGAUCAUUUUACUUCCCUGUUAACUUUGUGUAUGUUUGCAACUGUGAGAAAGAUAAUGAAAAAGAAAGAAUGAAGAAACAAAA